UGGGGAAUAUUGGGCAAUGGGGGAAACCCUGACCCAGCAACGCCGCGUGAGUGAAGAAGGCCUUCGGGUUGUAAAGCUCUGUCGCAGGGGACGAAGAAAGUGACGGUACCCUGUGAGGAAGCCCCGGCUAACUACGUGCCAGCAGCCGCGGUAAUACGUAGGGGGCGAGCGUUGUCCGGAAUUACUGGGCGUAAAGGGUGCGUAGGUGGCUUGUUAAGUUGGAUGUGAAAUCCCCGGGCUCAACUUGGGUGGUGCAUUCAAAACUGGCGAGCUAGAGUGCAGGAGAGGGAAGCGGAAUUCCUAGUGUAGCGGUGAAAUGCGUAGAUAUUAGGAGGAACACCAGUGGCGAAGGCGGCUUUCUGGACUGUAACUGACACUGAGGCACGAAAGCGUGGGGAGC
rnacentral:rRNA from 1 species